rnacentral:rRNA from 15 species
UCUAGACGCUGAGAGUUUCAGCCUAGAGGUGUCCGGAAAGUUAGCACAGGGAUAACUGGCGUGUGGCAGCCAAGCGUUCAUAGCGGCGUUGCUUUUUGAUCCUUCGAUG